GAUGAAGAACGUAGCGAAAUGCGAAAAGUAAUGUGAAUUGCAGAAUUCAGUGAACCAUCGAAUCCUUGAACGCACAUUGCGCCCGCUGGAACUCCGGCGGGCACGCCUGUCCGAGCGUCAUUUCAACCCUCAGGCCCCCCUUCGCGGGCGGGCCUGGUGUUGGGGCCCGGCCGCUACCCUGCGGCCGUCCCCUAAAUUCAGUGGCGGCCUCGCCGUGAUCCCUUGCGUAGUAAUGCACCUCGCACCGGAGAGCGCCGUGGCCACGCCGUAAAACCCCCAAUUUUCAAUGGUUGACCUCGGAUCAGGUGGGAAUACCCGCUGAACUUAAGCAUAUCAAUAAGCGGAGGA
rnacentral:misc_RNA from 1 species